UAUGGCCAUAUCACCCUGAAACACUGGUUCUCGUAUGAUCACUGAAGUUAAGCAAGUACUGGUCUGUACCUAGAUGGGUGACUGCUUGGGAAUACCAAGUGGUGUAAG